AAAGACAAAAAAAAAAAACAGAGAGAGAGAGAGAGAGGGCUUUUCUGGAGAGAUGGCAAAAUCACGCAGAAAACAAGUCGAACUUCUGGGGACACAGGAGGCCACACGUUUACUGAUGACAAGGCUGAGGGUGGAGACACAACUGCCAUCAUCAGGCUAAAGAAGCAGCUCUGUGGGGGCAAAACAAGGAGACUCAGAUGGCCCCACAUUCGGGAAGCUGGUCACGGGUGAGAGCUGGAAUGGGGCGCGUGACUGCAACUAGGGCCAGGGGUGUGGCCAGUGGAAGUGGAGAAAGAGACGCAAAACUGUGCACUGGGGGAAGCAGCUUCCAAAAGGAAAGAGUGAGAGGCAAGGCUCAAAACAGCACAGAAGGCUCGACAGAGGACUAGAGAAACAUGAGAGGGGGCUCGGACGUGCCCCUGAAAUCCAUCUCAGCCCAGCUUCAGAAACAGAGAGAGGCCGAGGUGGGAGAUGGGAGCAACUGGGAUGAGCCAGAAGGAAAAGCAAAUGAUCUGGUGGUGGUGGGGGGAAACAUGUCCUCUCAAGCAAGAGUCAAAGCGGAGAUUUAGACCCAGAAAGACAUUCACUGUCUAAGUGCCAGGCAGUUCCAAUGAGAUUAUGUCAUCUAGAGACCGGAAAUAGGCCAGGAUAACAGCAGGCAGAAGCCUGGUGGGCCCCGGGGCCGGAAGGAAGACAGAGAAGGGCCCGCAGACUUAUUCAGUGUUUCACCUCUGAGAGGUGGCAGCCAGCAGGAUGACAGCCCCGGGAGAGGACGACGAGGAGGGCACAUCAGGACAGAUCUUGGUGGGGAUUCUCUAUGGGUUAAUGAUCCUGGAAGGAAGGGAGAUGCCACGAGACGGCACAGCUGCUUUCCAACGGGGUGGGGGUGGGGAGCAAGUCCAGACUGGAAAUUGGGGGGAGUUUUCCCAAAUGCCCCCCCAACCUCAGUCUGGAGGACAAGCAAGAUCCUUGGCUCUGGGAUCUCUGGGUGGAACAUGGCACCCCCCAUGGAGCUGUCCCAAGACUCGGGGCUAGGGAGCUGCGGGCAAAUGCUCUGGUGCCAUAAGGACACUGAAAGAUACCAGGGUGACAGUGACAGACCCGAAGCCCAUGCUCCCCUGAGAGCUGAGGCUGCAAACUUGCAGAGAAAGCUCCAUUAUCCACUUCAGAUCCCAAGAGCUCUUGGGUGGGCCCUUGCAGCCUGGGUUACAAAGCACCAUUCCUCUUGGACCGUACUUCACAUGGGCUUGUGCUUGCUGUCUGAGGCCAAAUUCCACGCCCAGGUUCCCCCAGGCCAGGGCACAACCAUCACACGAGCUCAGAGUUGGGGGCUCUCCUUCCACGUGGAAGAGGCAGCCUGCGGGGUCUGCAGUCUUUCCCAAGCUACACGUGACAGAAACCCUUCUGUGCAGGUUCCUGAAGACGGGGCAGGUGUGGGGGUGAUCCUGGUGGCUACCUGCUCAGAGGAUCCACCCGUGGGGAGAAAAGAGAAGACCAGCCAGGGACCUUCCCGGGGCGGCCUGAGGAAACCCAAGGGGAAAAGGAUGAAAGAAGAGAACGGCGUCCUGCAACGGACGAACAGGACACACAGUCUGUAACAGCUGUUCUAAGGAGCUGAAAAAACACUUUUAAGCUAAGGGCACCCAUUUGUCUCUCCAGGCUCAGAUGAAGCUCUACUCUAAGGAGGCAGGAGGAUGCAAGUGAUAUUUUAAGUUGCUAUGUUGUGAUACCCAUCGGCUACUUGCUCAUUAACUGAGCCGUCUGACUAACCAAGGUCAAAACUUGGCUAGUUUCCUGGUGUCCUUAGGUAAUGCAUAAACAGAUCCAGAGACAGCUGCAGGCUCCAUAACCUCUCAAGCUUCAGACAGAAAUUCACUGUCAAGUUCUCGGCUCCUGACAACAGUCCUUGACCUUCAACCCCUGUCGGCUGCCUGAGCCAUGUGCCGGGGAGCUAACGCUCAGGUGUGUAGACUCCAAAGAAAGUGCUUUUCCUUGGGGGCUGGAAAGGGCUCAGCAGGUGCCACCACUCAUGUGAUGAGUCUUUAGAGGCUUUUUAAGGCAUCCUGUGCGAUGGGCAUGGGAUGAUUCUUCAGGUGCUCAACCCACAACCCUCCCACAGGUGCUCCCGGAUGCGGGGGCAAAGGGCUGGCUCUGUGGGUCACAUGGUCUCCCCCGCCAGUUCCCCUGUGACCUCUAACCUCCCACAAGCCCUACUCAAAGUGAGAGGAUCCCCGGCCUCCUUCCAGUCCUUGCUUCCAUCAGCACAGUGCACCCCCCUGCCCCCACGGGAUUCAAGAGGACCCCUGAAACAUGGGACAUUCCCUCUAAAGUUCCCCAGACUUCCAGAGCAGGCUGCACAGGGCUCCCUCUAACCAAUACUUCCUCUCCUCACCCCACACCCCUGGCUGCAUCUAAUUAAUCCCAGCCUGGCCUGGCAAGGCCCAUCACAUGUGGUUUCCAUACUGCAGAAGAAAAUACAUCACUUCUUACAGACAGCGCCAGUGUGUGUGACAGAGGGCUCCACAGGGGCAGUGUGGGGGACGACCUGCAGGAGGCAGAGCAAAGCCACUGGCCUGCCCCCAGGCCUCCCUGCCACCCCUGGGUCACAGAUGGUUCUGUGAGGUGCUGGGAUGCUGGCACUUGGCCACGGAUCAGAUGACGAUGGAAAUGGGCUGGGCUGGGCGGGCUCUCAGGGCUGUCUGAAUUUUGCCCCGCUUUUUACCUUUGAGGGCAGGGCUUUCUCGCAUGCAUCUUCUCUGGCAUGUCAGAUCGUGCCGCCCUGCAUUCACACGCCCGCCGCACUGUCCCCAGUGAGGAGAUCAGUGCCAAAUCAGAGCUGGUUGUGCAAAGCGGUUUCUGCCAUGCACUCCCUUUGCUGUCCUGCAUUUCAGCAAAAGCACUGGGGCCUGACCGCCAGGGGAGAAUGACUGGGGAAGGCUCCAGAAGAUCCACACAGGGAGCUGGGCAGCCCAACUUAAAGACGACAGGAAAGAAGUUUCUUCCGAGAGGGAAUAAGAAAUUCCUCGAAGAAACCCUCCAGCCUCCAGUCCUGUCCCCUUCUUCUCAGCUACAGCUAGGGAAAGGCCCCAUCCGCCUGCAUUCUGGGGCGGGGGGGGGGGAGGGGUUGGGUCAGGGCUGUUUCAGGAGACAGAUUUGGGCUGGCAUGUGUGUGUGUGUGUGUGUGUGUGUGUGUGUGUCGCAGCAAUUUGUUUUUAUUCUGAGCAAAGGAACGCAAUCCAUUAAGGGGGUAAGAGGAAGAGAGCCGAGCGGGGCCUCUCAGAAGCUCUCCCUGCAGGCAAAGCUGCGUUUCUAAAAGACCACGUGAACAGGAUCUGGGCCUUGCCCUUUACUCGGUUCAUCUUUCAUUAGAAUCAGCACAAUGGGCUCUGGGGGACCCGGCCACUGCCCCCUGGCAGACCACCGUGAACCGUGAGGCGGAACAGCAGCUCUCCUUGACCAAGCUGUGCUGAGAGCCGGAACGCCGUCUUAUGUAAGCCUCUCCGCGAAAUGGGCAGACACCAUCAUCCCUGUUUCACAGUCAAAGCAAAACAGGCUGGGAAACAGGACACGGAGUUAAAAACUGGAGGAACUGGGACUCGAACCCAAGGCUGUUAGACUAGAGAAGCUCCCCUCCCAAUCUGGCUCCCCAGGGCCAGGGCAUCUCUGGGGAGGGGCCGUGGGUGUGGGCAAGGCUGGGGUGCCCCCCUCUUCCCUCCGUACGUGGCCCUGGCCCCCGUCCCCACAGCCUGGAGAAGGGCCUGGGCCGGGACGGGAUCACAGCAAGCCUGGCUGAGAUGAGGUUUUGGAGUCACAGCGUCCCCCAACUCAACACACCUCUUAACUGUUACAGCCACCAGAUAACAGGGUCAUGUGGACAUGGAGAGGAUGACCAACCGGCCCAGGGGCCUGGCUGGAGUUCGGAGCCUUACUGCCACCCACCAUGGAGGUGCAGGCUGGGUCAGCUGAGUUUGGGCCUGAGGAAAGUCAGGCAGCUUCCUCGAGGCCAAGUCCCCCACCAGAUGUUUGUCCUCAAACACUCUGGAUGUCUUUGUCCUUCUAUAGAGAGUAGCUGUUCCUGGACCCUGAGCUAAACACGCGACUACAGAAAAAA